UACGAAGGGUGCAAGCGUUAAUCGGAAUUACUGGGCGUAAAGCGUGCGCAGGCGGUUCGGAAAGAGAGGUGUGAAAUCCCAGGGCUUAACCUUGGAACUGCACUUCUAACUACCGGGCUAGAGUACGGCAGAGGGGGGUAGAAUUCCACGUGUAGCAGUGAAAUGCGUAGAGAUGUGGAGGAAUACCGAUGGCGAAGGCAGCCCCCUGGGAUGAUACUGACGCUCAUGCACGAAAGCGUGGGGAGCAAACAGG
rnacentral:rRNA from 1 species